rnacentral:misc_RNA from 1 species
GAAAUGCGAUAAGUAAUGUGAAUUGCAGAAUUCAGUGAAUCAUCGAGUCUUUGAACGCACCUUGCGCUCCUUGGUAUUCCGAGGAGCAUGCCUGUUUGAGUGUCAUGAAACCCUCAAACCCAAGUUUUGGAUUUCGAUCCAUGCGUGAGUUUGGAUUUGGAUGUUGGCCGGUGAUGAACCGAGUCAUCUUAAAAGUAUUAGCUUGGCUCUGUCUAUAUGACUGGUUUGACUUGGCAUAAUAAGUAUUUUGCUGAGGACAUCUUCGGAUGGCCAGGACCUAGACUACUGUCUGCUAACUAAACCAUCACUUUAAGUGCAUCUUUGGAUGUUACCCAUUGUGUAACUUUGACAUCUGGCCCCACAUCAAGUAGGACUACCCGCUGAACUUAA